GACGAACGCUGGCGGCGUGCCUAAUACAUGCAAGUAGAACGCUGAAGGAGGAGCUUACUUCUCUGGAUGAGUUGCGAACGGGUGAGUAACGCGUAGGUAACCUGCCUGGUAGCGGGGGAUAACUAUUGGAAACGAUAGCUAAUACCGCAUAAGAGUAGAUGUUGCAUGACAUUUACUUAAAAGGUGCAAUUGCACCACUACCAGAUGGACCUGCGUUGUAGUAGCUAGUUGGUGGGGUAACGGCUUACCAAGGCGACGAUACAUAGCCGACCUGGGCGGGUGAUCGGCCAAACUGGGACUGAGACGCGGCACAGACUCCUACGGGAGGCAGCAGGAGGGAAUCUGCGGCAAUGGACGGAAGUCUGACCGAGCAACGCCGCGUGAGUGAAGAAGGUUUUCGGAUCGUAAAGCUCUGUUGUAAGAGAAGAACGAGUGUGAGAGUGGAAAGUUCACACUGUGACGGUAUCUUACCAGAAAGGGACGGCUAACUACGUGCCAGCCGCCGCAGUAA
rnacentral:rRNA from 1 species